rnacentral:misc_RNA from 1 species
GUCGGUAUCGAAGCUGAGUAAUAGUCAGCUGCCCGCUUAAAAACGCCGGUUUAUCCGGCGUUUUUUU